GCAAUCCAGCAGGAAAAAUAGCAUCGUCUGCAGCGGGCUUAAGGCCCGUUCCCACAGUGGCUAGUUAGCUUAACCAGUUGUUAAGUAGUGAUACCAACCACUGACACAAAAUUCGGUAAGAUAUUUACAAGGUUAGAUUUUGACAAGUCGCAUUUUCGCAAAUAAGUUUAAAAAACAUAUACAUAUAUAUUGAUAUAUUUGUGAUUGAUAAAUUGAUGUAUAUAUACAACAUAUAGUGUAUAUAUAUUACAUAUAUAUAACCUUGUAAAUAGCUUACCGAAUUUUGUGUCAGUGGUUGGUAUCACUACUUAACAACUGGUUAAGCUAACUAGCCACUGUGGGAACGGGCCUAACUUACUGCACUAGUUCACCAGUGCAGGAACAGAAAACAAGCCCUGUGGCCGAUCUUCCAACGACCUCGCCGCGGUGAUUUUAGGAACGCACGCACUUGGCACAAUCACCUGUCCGUACGGAAGUGACAGCACGACCGGUGUAGUUGCGUACCAAUUGUUUUGCUACGUGUCAUGUACACAAAUCUGACUUGCAUCAAGAACUGACUUCGCGUGGCUCUGUCGUUCCCUGCUCUUUCCUUGCGUUCGGUCGCCUCGCGUGUCCUCAAGGUUUACCCGGUCACGUUCCCGUUGGAAUACAAGAAUCGUUGUAACAUUUCUUCGAAAUUUAACUUUCAUCCCUUUCAGCCAAUCGACGCUAGUUUAAAGAUUAAGGUGCAAUCCCUGUAAAGAUAUGCGGCAGUUGAAGGGAAAGACGAAAGAGACGAAUAAACAGAAGAAGGAGCGGAAAAAGGAGUUCCUCGAGAAUAAGCAGAGGGUGUUCACGGUCGUGUUGCCCACCAUAGCUGCGACUUCGAGGCGUCGGCUGAUCCUUGGAAAAUGCAGAGACAAUUUCUCCCCGCGUUCUCGCGGACACGGGAAAAUCUAUCUAAAAGGAGGCACAUUCCACUGCUCUCCCCGAGGGACACCUCGUCACCUAAGUCGCGUUGUAAACGAGAUGCCGGUUUUUUGCGAACCUCUGCAUCUUUUAAUCUGACAAGAGGAAAUAUUUUUUAAGCCGGGAUUUAUGUAAUAUAUUAAGACAUGUAAUCGCAUCGGAUUUAAGGCGAAAGAGGGGCAAGCGUUUUUUACCAAUUACAGUAUGAGAAAAGUUUGUUAAUUUAUAUCGCAUCUCCACGACAAACGGACGACGUAUAGCGUAUAAGUUUACCGUAAUUUACGUGUCUUCCUUGGUGAAUUCUUAUUCGCGCGCAUUUUCUUAGUGCAUCAGGUUUAUACGGAUCUAGAGUUUCGUUCACGUAAUACUUCGAUUAGUUUUUUGCGUAUUAAACAUGUAGAGAAGAAGCGUUCGCAUAUCUGUGAAGUAUAAUUUUAAUAACUGAAUCAAAUUGGAAGUGGGUUAGAGAGAGAGAUGUUGGCGUGCAAAGCGCUGAAAUAAUGAACAUGGGUCCAAUGUAUGCGGUAUAAAAAUAUAUUUGUUAUAUAUAAA